UACAGGAAUACUAUUUUUCUUAAAGUAAUUUAAACAUUGCGUCUCCCAUUUGUACUUACAGAUUCAGUAUAUUGAAACCAGUGCUAAACAGAAAACAAAUGUUGAUCAAGCAUUUCAUGACCUUGUAAGAGCCAUCAGGAAAUUCCACGCUCAACUGGAAGAACAGCAAAGAAA